UACGGAGGGGGCUAGCGUUGUUCGGAAUUACUGGGCGUAAAGCGCACGUAGGCGGAUAUUUAAGUCAGGGGUGAAAUCCCGGGGCUCAACCCCGGAACUGCCUUUGAUACUGGGUAUCUGGAGGUCGAGAGAGGCGAGUGGAAUUCCGAGUGUAGAGGUGAAAUUCGUAGAUAUUCGGAGGAACACCAGUGGCGAAGGCGGCUCGCUGGGACGGUACUGACGCUGAGACGCGAAAGCGUGGGGAGCAAACAGG
rnacentral:rRNA from 1 species